AAUCACAGUCAGGCAGAACAUUAGACAUGCUCUUGAAAUCUCUGGUCUGAGGCUCCGUAAAGAAAGAGAUCAACAUUAAUGACUCCACCCACAACCACUUUGUCAUACCUGAAGAGCCCUUGGCUUUUUAAAUUCUUUUUACAGGUGUCUUAGCUCAACAGAUGCCGUAUUAGGAACAAACAUUAUGGCUCCACUAUCUAGAUGAGGCUGCUGCGGCUGAAGGAGUUUCAGUGACCGUGCCAACCCACGCAGUGGCAGAGAUCUAACUAAUUUCACAUGAGAAAAGAAAUUGUGACAUCAUCCCAUCACUGCUCAGACAUGAAACUUUCACUCCCAGCAUGGACAAUGUUUCCCUUUAAGGAAAACAGGACCCUUGACUUCGCUGGGCGCUGCUGAUGGAAGAGGUUCGUUCAAGCAACCCUGGACAGCAUCUUCCAUAUGGGAAGCACCUCCUUGACGAAAAUGAGAGAUGAAUAUGACUGCAAACCCAUGCAUUCCGGUCUUUGUUGUGUAAAUAAACAUACUUCUCAAUCUCAACUGUUUGCCAUUAAAAGGGAGGUUCUUAAUUUAGUACCAUGUUUUUAAAAUUCUUACCCACACAGACUCAUUUUCUCUGUGUUUCUGUCUGUCUCUUCCUUUGCUAUAUUUUGCACUGCAAGUGCUAAACUAAAGAAAUUGAGAAAUAGGGUAAACACUGAUAAACGUUUAAACAUUUAAACACAGACACGUACAAUGCUGCUCUCAUUCCCCUCAUCGUGGGCCCUCAUCUUCCUGUGGUCCUGGCAGGAGGAGAGACAUGCGUGUAAAGGGGGGAUGUUGAAGCAAGUUCGUGUUACCCCACCUGUGAGCGCCUGCGCUUCAACACAGCACAGCUGUGGAACCCGGGAAAAACAUGUACACUCUACCCGCAAGAACCAAACCCUUUGAACUCAUUAGAAACAGAUCUACCACUAGUAAGCAACUGAUUAUCAGACAUGUUACUGACCCAUUGUAUAACAACCUUGGAAGCAGGCUCGCUGCAGCUGGAAAAUUUAAAGCAGCUUAGAAUCAAAGACAAUUCAGAUGACGGCAGAUUGAACAACAAAGCCCUCCUAGGCGUUUGCCAGCCUCUCCAUUACUGUUUCCAUUCACCCUUUUCUUUUUGUGGAUUGUUAUUUUCUAAGAUUGAUUCACUGCUUAUGCAUUUGCAAAACAUCUUUACAGCACUCUCUAUAAAAAUAAUUUUGAAAAUGUAUUUCUGUUAGCUGCACGUCUAUUAGUAAAAACAUCUCCAAAUGACUGACUUAAUUCACUAAUCUUUUAAUGUUCAC
rnacentral:lncRNA from 10 species